AGAGUUUGAUCCUGGCUCAGGAUGAACGCUAGCGACAGGCUUAACACAUGCAAGUCGAGGGGCAGCAUAAAAGUAGCAAUACUUUGGUGGCGACCGGCGCACGGGUGAGUAACGCGUAUGCAACCUACCUAUCAGAGGGGGAUAACCCGGCGAAAGUCGGACUAAUACCGCAUAAAACAGGGGCACCGCAUGGUGAUAUUUGUUAAAAAUUUAUUGCUGAUAGAUGGGCAUGCGUUCCAUUAGGUAGUUGGAGAGGUAACGGCUCACCAAGCCAACGAUGGAUAGGGGAACUGAGAGGUUGGUCCCCCACACUGGUACUGAGACACGGACCAGACUCCUACGGGAGGCAGCAGUGAGGAAUAUUGGUCAAUGGGCGAGAGCCUGAACCAGCCAAGUCGCGUGAAGGAAGAAGGAUCUAUGGUUCGUAAACUUCUUUUGCAGGGGAAUAAAGUGCAGGACGUGUCCUGUUUUGUAUGUACCCUGAGAAUAAGGAUCGGCUAACUCCGUGCCAGCAGCCGCGGUAAUACGGAGGAUCCGAGCGUUAUCCGGAUUUAUUGGGUUUAAAGGGUGCGUAGGUGGUUUAAUAAGUCAGCGGUGAAAGUUUGCAGCUUAACUGUAAAAAUGCCGUUGAAACUGUUAGACUUGAGUGUAAAUGAGGUAGGCGGAAUGCGUGGUGUAGCGGUGAAAUGCUUAGAUAUCACGCAGAACUCCGAUUGCGAAGGCAGCUUACCAAGCUACAACUGACACUGAAGCACGAAAGCGUGGGGAUCAAACAGGAUUAGAUACCCUGGUAGUCG
rnacentral:rRNA from 1 species